AACGUAGGACGCAAGCGUUAUCCGGAGUUACUGGGCGUAAAGGGCGGGCAGGCGGCCAGGUAGGUCUGCUGUGAAAACUCGAGGCUUAACCUCGAGCUGUCGGCGGAAACCAUCUGGCUAGAGUCCGGAAGAGGAGAAUGGAAUUCCCGGUGUAGCGGUGAAAUGCGUAGAUAUCAAGAGGAACACCAGUGGCGAAGGCGAGUCCCUGGACAACACCUGACACUGAGGCACGAAAGCUAGGGGAGCAAACAGG
rnacentral:rRNA from 1 species